UGAAGAUGAUGUGAUAGAGUGGUGGGAAGGGUCCUUAUUUAUAAAAAAAAGAUGAACCAUUGGACCCUCUUCAAGUGGUGCAAAUCUAUGAGAAGAGGGAGGAAAAAGUAGAUUGACACGACGCAAUGACUUAUGGAUGGUUGACGAGAUGACGACGAUCCAACAACAACACGAAGACUUAAGGCACGUCGGCCAAGGGAUGGCACACACCUCCCAAAUGGCAGCAGCAUGCCAGCCUAGCAGUGGCGCAUGCCCUCGAAGGGGCAG
rnacentral:lncRNA from 1 species